UUCCGGUUGAUCCCGCCGGACCUGACUGCUAUCGGAUUGAUACUAAGCCAUGCGAGUCAUUGUAGCAAUACAAGGCAGACGGCUCAGUAACGCGUAGUCAACCUAACCUAUGGACGGGAAUAACCUCGGGAAACUGAGAAUAAUGCCCGAUAGAAUACUAUGCCUGGAAUGGUUUGUGUUCCAAAUGAUUUAUCGCCGUAGGAUGGGACUGCGGCCUAUCAGUUUGUUGGUGAGGUAAUGGCCCACCAAGACUAUUACAGGUACGGGCUCUGAGAGGAGUAGCCCGGAGAUGGGUACUGAGACAUGGACCCAGGCCCUAUGGGGCGCAGCAGGCGAGAAAACUUUGCAAUGUGCGGAAGCACGACAAGGUUAAUCCGAGUGGUUUCUGCUAAAGGAACCUUUUGUCGGUCCUAGAAACACCGAUGAAUAAGGGGUGGGCAAGUUCUGGUGUCAGCCGCCGCGGUAAAACCAGCACCUCAAGUGGUCAGGAUGAUUAUUGGGCCUAAAGCAUCCGUAGCCUGCUUAGUUAGUUUUCGGUUAGAUCUAUGCGCUCAACGUAUAGGCUGCCGGGAAUACUGCAAAGCUAGGGAGUGGGAGAGGUAGACGGUACUCGGUAGGAAGGGGUAAAAUCCUUUGAUCUAUUGAUGACCACCUGUGGCGAAGGCGGUCUACCAGAACACGUCCGACGGUGAGGGAUGAAAGCUGGGGGAGCAAACCGGAUUAGAUACCCGGGUAGUCCCAGCCGUAAACCAUGCAAACUCAGUGAUGCAUUGGCUUGUGGCCAAUGCAGUGCUGCAGGGAAGCCGUUAAGUUUGCCGCCUGGGAAGUACGUACGCAAGUAUGAAACUUAAAGGAAUUGGCGGGGGAGCACCACAAGGGGUGAAGCCUGCGGUUCAAUUGGAGUCAACGCCGGG
rnacentral:rRNA from 1 species